CCUACGGGAGGCAGCAGCAAGGGAUAUUGCGCAAUGGGCGAAAGCCUGACGCAGCGACGCCGCGUGGGCGAUGAAGGCCUUCGGGUCGUAAAGCCCUUUUGCCGGGGAAGAGGGAGGACGGUACCCGGCGAAUAAGCCCCGGCUAACUACGUGCCAGCAGCCGCGGUAAUACGUAGGGGGCGAGCGUUGUCCGGAAUCACUGGGCGUAAAGGGCACGUAGGCGGCCCGUUAAGUCGGCUGUGAAAUCCCCCGGCCCAACCGGGGGGGGGCGGCCGAGACUGGCGGGCUAGAGGGAGGCAGAGGUAGGUGGAAUUCCCGGAGUAGCGGUGAAAUGCGUAGAUACCGGGAGGAACCCCGGUGGCGAAGGCGGCCUCCGGGGCUUC
rnacentral:rRNA from 1 species